UGCAAACACCGCAGAGCAGUAAGCAUCGCUGAUGUCGGUGUCGGGUGUGUGGACGUUCUCAGCAUAGAGGAUGAAGACCCUCAGCAUGCCUGCUCCGACGAGCUGUAAUCUAAUGCUCCGGCUGCGGAGUCUCCCAAUGACACGGCAUUUUGCACCUGGCUGGGCGGCGGCCGCGAUGACCGGGGGCUGGACCAGGGCUCCGGGCGCCCGGCGUAGCCCAGAUCUCGCUCUUGGACAGGAGAAGGGCUCGGCUCCUCCCCCGAGCUUCCACCCCUGGCUGAGCGCUGCGCCAAGUCGGUUGCCUCCUUCCGCCUCGGGGAUUGGAGCAGUCUCUCCAGAACCCAACCCAACCGCCCGGGUAGGACGGGGGAUCCUGGGGAGGCUCUUUCCGUAAGAGAAGCCUGGAGCUGAGAAUUUCAUUGACAAGCAAGGCAGCUGUCUUAAAAACUUUGUCCCCUUUUUCUGGCUUUGAAAGCAGCACAUGCCAUUUUAAAACAAAAAGCAUAAAGAAAGAAAUCCCUGGUUCUGAAAAAAAUAGUAUAUGAACAUUUGGGUAUUUGGCAGCCCAGGCUUUCUCCUCUGAAUGUAUAUACACAUGUAAACUGCAGUAUUUAUUAUGUAUCUGAGUGUAGAAUGCAGUCUGUGUCCCACGUUUUCAUGUAACAUCUUGCAUCAUUCAAAAAUUAUUCAUAAA